CGUCAUGGUGGCUGUGCGCAGGGCACCUUCGGGUGCGCCGGUUUCCAAUGUGAUCGGCCUGCUAACCUGCGUACAGCUGCCUCCCUU
rnacentral:antisense_RNA from 1 species